UAUAUUUGCAAAAAUUUUGGUUUCCAAGAGAUUGGAACUAAGAGGGAAUUGGGUGAAACUCCCAAGCUGUCCCCGCAACUGUAAAUCGCAUAAUCAAUUUCUACAAAAAACCACUGCCAAAACGGGAAGGUGUAGCAAAGCGAAAGUCAGGAGACCUGCCGGAAUUUUAAUAUUAAUA
rnacentral:ncRNA from 1 species